rnacentral:rRNA from 1 species
GAUGAACGCUGGCGGCGUGCCUAAUACAUGCAAGUCGAGCGAACUGAUUAGAAGCUUGCUUCUAUGACGUUAGCGGCGGACGGGUGAGUAACACGUGAGCAACCUGCCUGUAAGACUGGGAUAACUUCGGGAAACCGAAGCUAAUACCGGAUAGGAUCUUCUCCUUCAUGGGAGAUGAUUGAAAGAUGGUUUCGGCUAUCACUUACAGAUGGGCUCGCGGUGCAUUAGCUAGUUGGUGAGGUAACGGCUCACCAAGGCAACGAUGCAUAGCCGACCUGAGAGGGUGAUCGGCCACACUGGGACUGAGACACGGUCCAGACUCCUACGGGAGGCAGCAGUAGGGAAUCUUCCGCAAUGGACGAAAGUCUGACGGAGCAACGCCGCGUGAGUGAUGAAGGCUUUCGGGUCGUAAAACUCUGUUGUUAGGGAAGAACAAGUACAAGAGUAACUGCUUGUACCUUGACGGUACCUAACCAGAAAGCCACGGCUAACUACGUGCCAGCCGCCGCAGUAACAC